rnacentral:rRNA from 1 species
CAGCCCCGCGGGAAUACGGAGGGUGCAAGCGUUAAUCGGAAUUACUGGGCGUAAAGCGCACGCAGGCGGUCUGUCAAGUCAGAUGUGAAAUCCCCGGGCUUAACCUGGGAACUGCAUUUGAAACUGGCAGGCUAGAGUCUUGUAGAGGGGGGUAGAAUUCCAGGUGUAGCGGUGAAAUGCGUAGAGAUCUGGAGGAAUACCGGUGGCGAAGGCGGCCCCCUGGACAAAGACUGACGCUCAGGUGCGAAAGCGUGGGGAGCAAACAGGAUUAGAUACCCCAGUAGUCCCUGUCUCUUAUACA